rnacentral:rRNA from 1 species
CGCGUAGGUGGUAGUGUAAGUCUGGGGUGGAAUGCCGGGGCUUAACCCUGGAAUUGCCUUGGAAACUGCAUUACUUGAGUCAGUGAGGGGAGGGUAGAAUUCCUGGUGUAGCGGUGAAAUGCGUAGAUAUCAGGAGGAAGGCCUGUGGCGAAGACGGCCCUCUGGUGCUGGACUGACACUGAGGCGCGAAAGCGUGGGGAGCAAACAGGAUUAGAUACCCUGGUAGUCCACGCCCUAAACGGUGGGCACUAGGUGUAGGGCUCGUAAGGGUUCUGUGCCGAAGGGAAACCAUUAAGUGCCCCGCCUGGGGAGUACGGCCGCAAGGUUGAA